AACGCGAAGAACCUUACCUGGGCUCGAAGCGCAGUGGAUAUGGGUGGAAACAUCCCUUUCUCGCAAGAGACUGCUGCGGAGGUGCUGCAUGGCUGUCGUCAGCUCGUGUCGUGAGAUGUUGGGUUAAGUCCCGCAACGAGCGCAACCCUUAUCGUUAGUUGCCAUCAUUUAGUUGGGCACUCUAGCGAAACCGCCUCGGAUAACGGGGAGGAAGGUGGGGAUGACGUCAAGUCCUCAUGGCCUUUAUGUCCAGGGCUACACACGUGCUACAAUGGCCGGUACAAACCGCUGCAAACCCGUGAGGGGGAGCUAAUCGGAAAAAGCCGGCCUCAGUUCGGAUUGGAGUCUGCAACUCGACUCCAUGAAGCUGGAAUCGCUAGUAAUCGUGGAUCAGAACGCCACGGUGAAUACGUUCCCGGGCCUUGUACACACCGGAGUGC
rnacentral:rRNA from 1 species